rnacentral:rRNA from 1 species
UACAGAGGUCUCAAGCGUUGUUCGGAUUCAUUGGGCGUAAAGGGUGCGUAGGCGGCGUGGUAAGUCGGGUGUGAAAUCUCGGAGCUUAGCUCCGAAACUGCAUUCGAUACUGCCGUGCUUGAGGACUGGAGAGGAGACUGGAAUUUACGGUGUAGCGGUGAAAUGCGUAGAUAUCGUAAGGAAGACCAGUGGCGAAGGCGGGUCUCUGGACAGUUCCUGACGCUGAGGCACGAAGGCCAGGGGAGCAAACGGG